rnacentral:rRNA from 1 species
GGACUACUGGGGUAUCUAAUCCUGUUUGCUCCCCACGCUUUCGCGCCUCAGCGUCAAUUGCAGGCCAGAUGGCCGCCUUCGCCACCGGUGUUCUUCCCAAUAUCUACGAAUUUCACCUCUACACUGGGAAUUCCGCCAUCCUCUCCUGCCUUCCAGCGCCGCAGUAUCAAGCGCCAUUCCCAGGUUGAGCCCGGGCCUUUCACGCCUGACUUACAGCACAGCCUACGCGCCCUUUACGCCCAGUAAUUCCGAACAACGCUAGCCCCCUUCGUAUUACCGCGGCUGCUGGCAC